UUCCUCCUUCUUUGGCAAUCUCUGUGAUCGUUUGGAUUGAGGCUUUCACGGUUUCUGUGACCUUGGAUCCAAAAGUGAUGGCCGACUUCUCUAAAUUCAGCUUCUGUCCCGUAGCCCGCUCAUAGAUUUUGAGUAUCUUCACCAAUUCAGUCGCUUGCUCAGCAGAAGCUCUACAUAUCAGCAGACUAUCAUCAGCAAAUAACAUAUGAUGUAUCAUUGGCCCUUCUGAGGUGAAUUGAAUUCCUUGAAUUUUUCCUUCCUGAACC
rnacentral:lncRNA from 1 species